UACGGGGGGGGCAAGCGUUGUUCGGAAUUACUGGGCGUAAAGGGCUCGUAGGUGGCCGACUAAGUCAGACGUGAAAUCCCUCAGCUUAACUGGGGAACUGCGUCUGAUACUGGAUGGCUUGAGUUUGGGAGAGGGAUGCGGAAUUCCAGGUGUAGCGGUGAAAUGCGUAAAGAUGUGGAGGAACACCAGUGGCGAAGGCGACUCUUUGGCCUGUAACUGACGCUGAGGCGCGAAAGCGUGGGGAGCAAACAGG
rnacentral:rRNA from 1 species